rnacentral:rRNA from 1 species
GUGAAGCAGAGCUUGCUCUGUGGAUCAGUGGCGAACGGGUGAGUAACACGUGAGCAAUCUGCCCCUGACUCUGGGAUAAGCGCUGGAAACGGCGUCUAAUACCGGAUACGAGCUGCGACCGCAUGGUCAGUAGCUGGAAAGAAUUUCGGUCAGGGAUGAGCUCGCGGCCUAUCAGCUUGUUGGUGAGGUAAUGGCUCACCAAGGCGUCGACGGGUAGCCGGCCUGAGAGGGUGACCGGCCACACUGGGACUGAGACACGGCCCAGACUCCUACGGGAGGCAGCAGUGGGGAAUAUUGCACAAUGGGCGCAAGCCUGAUGCAGCAACGCCGCGUGAGGGAUGACGGCCUUCGGGUUGUAAACCUCUUUUAGCAGGGAAGAAGCGAAAGUGACGGUACCUGCAGAAAAAGCGCCGGCUAACUACGUGCCAGCAGCCGCGGUAAUACGUAGGGCGCAAGCGUUAUCCGGAAUUAUUGGGCGUAAAGAGCUCGUAGGCGGUCUGUCGCGUCUGCUGUGAAAACCCGAGGCUCAACCUCGGGCCUGCAGUGGGUACGGGCAGACUAGAGUGCGGUAGGGGAGAUUGGAAUUCCUGGUGUAGCGGUGGAAUGCGCAGAUAUCAGGAGGAACACCGAUGGCGAAGGCAGAUCUCUGGGCCGUAACUGACGCUGAGGAGCGAAAGGGUGGGGAGCAAACAGGCUUAGAUACCCUGGUAGUCCACCCCGUAAACGUUGGGAACUAGUUGUGGGGUCCAUUCCACGGAUUCCGUGACGCAGCUAACGCAUUAAGUUCCCCGCCUGGGGAGUACGGCCGCAAGGCUAAAACUCAAAGGAAUUGACGGGGACCCGCACAAGCGGCGGAGCAUGCGGAUUAAUUCGAUGCAACGCGAAGAACCUUACCAAGGCUUGACAUAUAGAGGAAACGUCUGGAAACAGUCGCCCCGCAAGGUCUCUAUACAGGUGGUGCAUGGUUGUCGUCAGCUCGUGUCGUGAGAUGUUGGGUUAAGUCCCGCAACGAGCGCAACCCUCGUUCUAUGUUGCCAGCACGUAAUGGUGGGAACUCAUGGGAUACUGCCGGGGUCAACUCGGAGGAAGGUGGGGAUGACGUCAAAUCAUCAUGCCCCUUAUGUCUUGGGCUUCACGCAUGCUACAAUGGCCGGUACAAAAGGGCUGCAAUACCGUGAGGUGGAGCGAAUCCCAAAAAGCCGGUCCCAGUUCGGAUUGAGGUCUGCAACUCGACCUCAUGAAGUCGGAGUCGCUAGUAAUCGCAGAUCAGCAACGCUGCGGUGAAUACGUUCCCGGGUCUUGUACACACCGCCCGUCAAGUCAUGAAAGUCGGUAACACCUGAAGCCGGUGGCCCAACCCUUGUGGAGGAGCCGUCGAA